rnacentral:tRNA from 1 species
GCGGGUCGUAGCUCAGUCGGUUAGAGCGCCAGUUUGUGGCACUGGAGGCCGGGGGUUCGAUUCCCCUCGAUCCGCC